CACGUAGGGGGCGAGCGUUGUCCGGAAUUAUUGGGCGUAAAGAGCUCGUAGGCGGUUUGUUGCGUCGGCUGUGAAAUCCCGAGGCUCAACCUCGGGUCUGCAGUCGAUACGAGCAAACUAGAGUGUUGCAGGGGAGACUGGAAUUCCUGGUGUAGCGGUGAAAUGCGCAGAUAUCAGGAGGAACACCGGUGGCGAAGGCGGUUCUCUGGGCAUGAUCUGACGCUGAGGAGCGAAAGUGUGGGGAGCGAACAGG
rnacentral:rRNA from 1 species